CGUCAUGAUGGACAAUCAGCCGCCCCUCACAUCACCGGAUGGAUCAAGUAAUGGGAACCCGCCAGAGAUAUGUCCCCGUCCUCUGUAUUCCCGGGAUUCCACACAGGAAGGUCACACCAUCCCCCACCAUCAUCAGAGUGGAAAUCUCUGGGAUGAUAAUAUUGUUGUUAAAGAAGAGUAUAAAGAGGAGGAUGAGGAGUAUGGAGUGAUGGAGGAGUUAUCAGAAG